UUCCAAAGAAGAUAUCGUAAAGGUAUUGGCUUCAGUGAGGUUUUUUUAGAUGGUAUUUGUGAUAAAAUGCAAGUGAAUCAAGUAUAGACAUUUAAUUCAACAGCUUUGUUAAAAGUAAGUUAUGCCUUGAAUGUUCCCAUUAUUAAUUAUAGGACAGAUCUAACAGCAGAGUGAGUGAUGAAAGCCACCAUAUUUUAGGAAUCUAAAAUCUAAUUAAUGUGUUAUCUCAUUCUAACCACUCAUAAAGAUGAAGUGUGAUGAAUUCUACCAUUUUGUAUAAGAACUCAUAAAGUAAAAGUCAUUUCAAUCCUUUGAGAACUCAUUUGUUUCUUCCAAGAUCAAAUAGUGACUAAGUGCAUACGUAAGCAGACUCACUUCACAACAUCACCCAGUGUACUUCAAGGAAUACGGAGAAAUAUGAGACUAUAUGAACUCUGAAGUUGAGUGUAGCUGAAAGAUAAAGGAAGAUUAAAAUUAGAAAGUUCAUUUAUCACUUGAAAAAGCUGCAGUGAGAGAGACUUAUGAGUAUACAACUCUGUGUUGUCCACAGGCAGGAAGUAUCAAUCAUAAGUGUAAUAGAAAGUUUAUGAUCAGAGUGUGUUUAAAUGAGCAAAUACAUUAGUAACAGUGACAUUAACAGAAUAUCCCACAUCAUGAUCCUCCCUAAAUGGCAAGGGAAGAAGGCCUAAGGAAAAAAAUGAGGACUAGAAUAGUAUCACUGUCUUUAGUAAAAUGUAGAAUGAAAAAUACAAAGAGCAAUAAAACUUAAUGCUGCUGUUCUUUUACAGUGGUUUAUUUUUAAACAAGAAAAUGUUUUUCUACAAAAGAAAGCAAAGUUCAUGAGGAUCUGCAAUUGAAAACUUAUGAGAGUCUCUCAUGGUAGUGGAGGGCAAUAAAUCACAAAUAGUGUCAGCAUGAAUGGAGGGUACUCACAUGCUGGAAAGCAGAUGCCAAGGAAAUAAUGGAGCCAUUUUCAACAUUUGCAGAUCAAGCAUGCAAAAACAUAGUCUGCUCAUGUACCCAAGAAUGCAGACAUCAUCUUUACAGAGGGCAGUGGUUGGUUAAUGUGAAAAGGAUUCCCAAUAAAACAGUAAAGUCACUGGCAACAAAAGUCCUUCCGAGGAACACAGAGACAUAAAAGGGUUCCUCCUGUGGAGACCACGUGCCUGUGAGGUUCCGUGUGAUUCUAUCUGAAGAUAUUGUAAGGGUUUUGGAGACAUUGUAAGGGUAUAUAUUUCAGUGACAAGUCAGUUUUAGAAACAGAACUAGAGAUAAUGGCUUAAUUAUCCAACUUAGUUCAAAUGCAUGAAACUGAAUGUCUAGAAUGUCAAUUUAUACUAGAGUUUUCAGAACUAACAGAAUGAUGGACAUGCAUGGAAAAUUGUAGUGUUGGGCAAAAGUUUAAAUGUUUUCAAGAACUCUUAUGCAAUUGGGAAAUUCAAGACUAGAGUACAGAUUUCCUUUGUACAUCAAUAGAAAUAAGCAGUACUUAUUUGGAAAAUAAGUAAGAAACUCUAAACUAUGCCAUCUUCCCUUGGUAGUGAAAAAGUUUUGAAAGCUUUCUUAUAUUUUCUAAAAUAGACUUGAUAACAAUAAGGUAAAAUUGAGAACCAAUGAAGUAAAAGUGUAGUUUUAUCAUACACAGAAGCUGUUCUUACACUGUAAGAACCCAGUUUUUCCAUGUGUCCUCUAACCACUAGCACUAAAUGAACACUUAAGUAUAUUUUUUACUAUGUUAUUUACAUACAUUAUUUUCUCUUAAUAUAUACUAAUUCCACAAAAGUAGUAGUGAUGGUCAUAAUUCUGUGAGGGAAACUGACUUAAAGAGCUUAAAGUAAUUUGUUUGAUAGCAGUGCCCCAAAUUGGAAUAACCACAAUUUCUCUUCCAGUUUAUGUGACACAAGAACCCUCUUCCUCAUCCUUGAUGGUCUGUAGAUUAUUGAUGUUGCUGGAAAUAAAACUGGCCUGCAUUGCAAAUUUGAGAAACAAAGAGCUGCUAACUCACUCAAGACGGCCUGUGUGCCUUUUGGGGGGUUGGCAGUCAAAUGUGGCACCAAACUCUGGAUCCAAUCAAAUGUUUAGUACUGUCCAACCUUCCAUAUGGUUGAGAGAUCUGGGUCUGUCACAGAUGUCGCAGGCAGCUUCCUACAUCACCUGCAAGACAUAUGUGACAUAAAUGUGAAAGCAGAAUUUCUAAAAGUUACCCCACCUGGGUUGGUAAUGGUGAGGCAAAGAUCAGCACAGUAGCAAGUAUGGGAACCAGGAAAAGUUUGGGGAUGAUUCAUAUUAAGGCCCUUAAGGCCCGAGUCAGCUGCUCCACAGGGAGCUGAAAUGGGGCAUUGUGAGGAGGUGGAGGCAGGGCUGGCAAAAGAAAGGCUUGGAGGACACAUUGAAUCACAACUUCUAACAGUGUGGCGUGGCUAUGCAAACAACAUCAGACAGGCCAAACUUACAUGCAAAAAAAUCAAAGACUGAGUGACUCUUUCUGGGCAAGUGUGUCUGGCAGCCUACGAGGAGGAAAGGAAAGGCUGCAAGUACAAUAUGCUCUGCAGACAGAGGAGAGAGUCCCAGCCCAAAGACGGCUUCCAUGUGUGUGAAGUGUGGAAAAGCUGAGACAUGUACUGGGCUCUUCAGCCACAUUCUCACCCUUGGAAAGCAAUCCGCCACCAGACAAAUCUCCAAUUUAAAUGACAGCAAAAUGUAUGCUUGGAGUUAUCUGACCAAAUUAGCAACUGAGAUAUUCUAGGGACUUAAUUUGCACAUUGAGUUUUAAUAGUAUUAUAUUUGUAUAGCAGAUUAUGUAACCAAAAAUGUUAAUGGGAAAAUGAUUUUAUUUGACUGGGAAAUUGGCACUCUGACUAAUUGUCUGAAAAGGAGCCAAUUUUAAAAUUCAGAUGCUAUUUGAAUGAACUAGUAUCAACUGAAUUAGGAUUUAUUGUGUAAAAUAUGCAGUUUUUAAAAAUAGUCUAAGGAAAGAAAAAAAGGACUCAAUGAACUAAGUUUGUGUCCUUCUCUGUGUUCUUGGACGAGCUUCAGAAUGACACAAAUAAGACCAUCGAAGUCAUCAGGGAGACUGGGGCAGCAUGGGACAUGAUAAAUGGCCUGUAAUGAACAUACUGUAGGAAUAUGGCUUUUCUUGUUUCUAUGUUUCUUUUUUAUUUCUUUUUUUUUAAUCACUGGAAGGGGUUGGAUUCUUUAUACUACUUGACCAUAUAACAAUUAUUUACUAAAAUUUUUGGUUACUUAUGUAAAAAUGUCUUGAAGUGUUAUAUGCUUAUCUAUCUAUCUAUCUAUCUAUCUAUCUAUCUAUCUAUCUACAUAUAUAUUGGUAUGACAUGACACAUAUACUUUGGAAUAACAAUGCUUUGAAUGUGAUAUUAGUAUGCUUGGUAUAUUAUGGAAGUCCAAAGUUUAUAAUAAAUACUGAUAUUUUUCUUACUGUGAAAUUUAUUAGCUGUAACUGGCAGAUAUUAAAUAAGAAAUAAUACUGAGAACUAGUUAUUUUCAUGGAAGAAAGUAUUAAAAACCACCCACUUUAUCCUUUGAAAAGAUCUCCUUUGUUAGUGAACUGUAAUGAUCUUAUUAUUCAAGAUAUCCCUGUCACAUCCUGAGUAAGCUUGGGUCUUGUAAGUAAUAUUUAAGUAGCACUUUUCUUUCAUAACUUGCUUUUGGGGGUAUGGAACACUGCAAGGCUCCUUCAGAUAAGUCUUUUCCUCUUCACUCCAUCUCUGGCAGCCCCCCUCCUUAAGACAAAAUCUUCAAGUUGCCAUAGAAAACUGUGAGUGUUAAAUGAAUAUCUUUGACAGGAGCUAAGACUUUUGGGCAUUAAAAUAAAGUUUUGCUUCUUUCUUGGCAACUAAAGCUUGAGUGUGUGCUUUGACACCAGGAGCAUAGGAUGUGAGCAAGGCAACUUUCAGAGCCUCGGAGGUGUCGGUACAAGUAAAGUCAGCAAUAGUCAACAGUAUUAAGGUAAUUUCCCACUUCUAGAAUCCCAGCAAGUCAGUGAGCUCAUUGCCCCUCUUGGCUGGUAGAGCCUCAUUCUCUAUUGUCAAAUGCCACAUAAAACUGUCUUUCAACUCCUAGGGCAGCAAUUCUUGAGAAAAGCAUAGAGGUAAAACAAAACCAUGUGCAAACAUUUUAAAAUAGUGUUUCUUGAUUCAUUCACAAGAAUGAAUGUUGUUAUUGUUGGGGGGAGAUUUCCCCUGAAUAUCACAUAGACAGAAUACUUACUAUGUUUGUUUGAAUUGCUUCAAGAGCUGACGCUAUCAGCUUCUAAGUGAAGAAGUGUUGCCACUAUCUCCUGGUUUGUUUCAGUCUUAGGAUUGUAAAAUAUGAUUAUAUUUGUAUUGUGCAUGUAGAAAACAUUUUCUUGCUGGUCAUGAAAUAAUCCAACCUUUUUAAUGAUAGAUGCAUGUACAAACUGAUGCCUACGUGUCACAAAUUGAGACUGGUGGAUUUUUUUCCCACUAAGACACACGUCUAUGUAUCCAAACACCACGGUAAGAAGCAGGACAUUAUGCAUAGCAGGGUUUACAAUCAUUCGAAUUGUCUGAAAACUUUCAUGUUCUUUUUGUUUUUAAUUUUUCAAGGUUGCAAAGCAUACCCACAUAGAGGUUGCGCCUGUUUUCAAACAUUUUUGUUUAGUAAAACUCCCCCUAAUAUCUCAUCACAUAAUUUCUACUAAUAUUUAAUUCAUUGCACGUAGCAACCUGUAUAGCUAUAAGAGAGGACAUAAAUUAGCAUUGCAGAGUAUGAACAUUUGCUUCAUGGCAAAACUGUUUCUUCUGGCAACCAUUUUGCAUUUUUAAAGCCACAGCACCCUGUGUAACAGAACUCCAAGCAGCGGGGCAGCAAAACGGAAUAAAGAUACUGUAAGUAAAUGAAAGAGGGCUGAGGGGUUAAAAACUUUGCUGGAUGAAUUUUACCAUGGCUGCCCCAAGUUCAUAAUCUCAGUGGAUGAAUGAAGAGGGUCCCAUGUGGGAUUUAUAAACUUGCUGGAAAUGGAUGAGAAGCCUUCUGCUCUGCUGGAGUUUAAUCCAGCAAAACCACUUGUGAUGGCAUGAACUAAAAAUAGAAGCAAAUGUUCAAAGAAAGUGGAGCAUCUAUUGCGCAAUAUGAGCUUAACGCUUUUGAACGAAUGUCUCACAUCCAAGAAUUUAUUAAAAGUUGUAACUACCAUGUUUCAGAUAUAUUUAGUACUGACCUUUUGGGAAUGGAUGACCUAUCAGUUGGCUGAUCCCUGGAGAAAAUGGAUUCUGCUUUCCUCAGCAGCUGUUGAUUGCCUGUAGUCCUUCAUCUAGAAGCUGACCUUGUGUUUAAAAUACAAAGUUCAGGAAGAAGCCCAGCAUGGCUGACCUCUGAGAGGCCCUACAAGCAGCUGCUUGAAACAGUCACAGAUACUUACACUCAACCAAUGGACUGAAGUUGGAGAGUCCUGUGGAUGAAUUAUGAAAGGCUGAAAGAAGAAACCACAAGGCCAGAUUUCCCUCUAGGAAUAUGUUGUUACACAACUAACUGCCUUGGUAUUGAUGCUUUGUCAGGGUCUCAUGUAUCUCAGGCUGGUUACACGCUAGCAAUUUACUGAAAAAUAAUCUUGAACUGAUCUUCUGACCUCUAGCUCUUAUUGGUAAAAGAGGCUGGCAUAUGCCACCAUAUCUGGUUUUCGUGGAAUUUUUCCCUUUUACAAAUUUCUAUUAAUUUAUUGAAAAUCUCUCAUGAUUAUGUACUUUCAUUUUUAGAUAAUUUUUCUCCCUCCAACACCUUCCAUGUUAAUUGUAUGUCUCAAAUUGAUGUAUUUCUAUUCUUUAAUUAUUAUAUAUUGUAUUUAUAUAACUUAUAAAUAGAACUUGCUGAGUUCAUUAAGUUCUUUUCGCACAGGUAUUUAUUUAGGGCUGACCACUUGGAAUGGCAUAGCCUAUCUGGGGAUUUUUCCUUGGAGAAAACAGAUUCCUCUUCUCUUAAUUACCUGAAGGGAAACUGUUACUUCAGUAGGAAAAUUCUUCUACCUUGAACUUGAGAGCUUGCAACCUACCCCCGAGUCUUCCUUUCAGGCCUGCUUCUUUUUGUCUCGCCUCUCACUUUGUUAUGUGAUAGAAAAUCUUCCAUAGUCUUGAGAAUCAUGAUUUUUUUUUUAAGUUUGAUAUGCACAGAACACAAAUUAAAUGUAACAAUUAUUUGUGGUAAGCCACUUUCCUGAUGCUGGAAGAAUGAUUUUUCUUUGCUUCUGAUAAAAAUCCAAAGUCAUUGAAAAAGCUGAUUCAACUAAGUCUUCAGUGAAAAACCAGUUCUGUAAACUCUGCCAUGCUCAUUUACUGAAGUUAUCCCAUGUUUGGCCCGAAUAUGAAAAUUUUUUGAAACAUAAACUUACUUCACUGUGUUUAAAGGCAAGAAUAUGGAAUAAAAGCAGAGAGUGUUAAGCCAGCAUUCCCAGGUCACUUGUAAAGAUGAGCAUGCAUAGACCCUUCUGUCAAGACCCUGAUCCUGGACCAAAUUAUAACCCAAAAUUUGGUGAAGCACAUACCAGGAUGUGCAUAUUAAUUUUUAUUCAUAAACUUAACCAAAUAUUACUCACUCUACACAGAACAGAUGGAAACAGCCAUUUCUUUUCUGGACUCAGAAUAUUGAAUUAUGAGAGGUCAGGGAAAAAUUCUCAAUGAUGAUCAAGACAGAAUUACUAGGGAAACAAUAUAAGAAACCAGUGAAUUUAUGUAUGAUUGGUUGUUUUUACUCUUAUACAUUUUUAGUAAUUCACAAACAUCAUAGAUUACUUCUAUCAAAGACAUACAUAUGUAACAUAUUCCUAAUAUUUCAUCCUUUCAUUUAGAAAUACACAUGGUCUUCAAUCUUUUUUUUAUUAGAAAUUUUCUUUACUUACAUUUCAAAUGCUAUCCCGAAAGUUCCCUAUAUGCUACCCCGCCCUGCUCCUUGUCUUCUAUCUUAAUUAUGUGAAUUAUGUAAUUUCUAAUGUUACUUUCAGUUCAUUAUUUUGCUUGGCUAUAAACGUUACAUUUAUUUGAACUUAGGAUAUUUGUAAUACUCAGAGAACUUUAUACUAUGCAUCCUCCCUGCUCAAUGUAAAUGAUAUUCAUCCAUGUGUUGGUAACACACAACUGGACAGCUGUAUCCUGUGACCCUGAUGUAUCCACAAGCGAGGUUGAUUAAUAAACUUCACGUUUAAGUUUUAAUACAGACUAUUAAGCUGCUUUCUAGCUGCAUGUUUGUCCCCAUUCCCUCUUGUUUUUUCAGUAUUUAAGCUUCAGCUGCAUGUUUGUCCCCAUUCCCUCUUGUUUUUUCAGUAUUUAAGCUUCUCCUUUUGAGGUAUGGUAACCAUAUGACCUUAUUCUAGCUGUUUCUUUCCUAUAUGAAGUUAACCAUUACUUAUGAAUGCGGUAAUUUACCUACAAUAUUGAGCCACCAUCAUGUAUCAUUUUAAUAUUAGAGCUUAUAAAUCUAGUCCACAUGCUUUUCUUACUGAAAUAUCUACUCAAUGUAUGUGUUUGUGUUUGUUUGUGAGUGCAUGCAUGUUUGAUAAUCUCUUUCAGUGAUCUCAAUUUUAAUUAUCAUUGAGGUUUUGCCCACAUAGCUACUUCUAUAGGAAACCCUGCCUUCAAUUCUCUAAAUUGUAUAUAUAUAUAUUUGCAGUUUUCUAAAUCACACCUCCCAUUUGCUGCCCCUGUAUUUUGUUACUGUCUUCUGUAUAGAUAGCUGUUGAGAUGGAGCAGGCAGCAAGAGUUCUAUAUGUUUGACAGACAUAUAAGCCAGUUGGCUUGCCAAGACAUCUGUUUUCUCUUUAGGGUAUAUAAAAAUGAUUCUCCACCUGGUAGGUUUGGAGAGAUCUUUGCUGCCAGAUUUCAGUUGUGGCAAACAUAUAGUUUGCUUGGUCACUAAGCUUUAAGAAGCUGGAAAGUCCUUUGAAUCAGCUAGUUUUUACAGGACAGCUAAAGAGGAUGCCCUGCCCUACCCAGUAUCUCAUGGUCUCAUUAGAUAUAGAAGGAGAAGGUGAAUUAAAAGAAAAAUCCUUAAAGUUUUAACAUUUGGAUAUGAUUACUAUCUUUUUCCCAUAAUAAUUUUAGUAAAAACAAAGAAUGAAGAUAAGUGUAUACAUACCUCUAAGAGAAACCUUGUUUAAUAAGACAAAAUUAUAAACAAUUAUGAAAACUGAGGGUUAAUUUAAAAUUUAAAGUGUAAUUCUUUUACUAUGCAUUGCUUCCCCAUUUUACAUCAUGAUAGAAGCUUAGAAUCUUAGAAUCUUAAGCCAUACCUUAAAAAAUCAUAAAAUACUACAAACUGGGCUUUUUGUUCAUGCUUAUUUUCAAAGGUUAUAAUGCUAAUUUAGUAUGUGUUGGCAUAUCAAUAGGUCAAGUUAUAAAGGAUGAUGAUAAAAACUUCCACUGGUCUCUUAGGAAAUAGAGACCACUGGCUACUAACAAAGGAAGACCAAAAGUACCUGGGCUUGGUAUAAGUUAGAAGACACAGUUGAGCCCAAGACCUCACACAUGUGAAACAUGCAUUUUGUCACGGAGUCUCCAGUGGGCAACAAACAUAUAUGACUAGUUCAUGUGUUCUAUAAUUACCUCCGGAAGUUGAGAAAAGUAAGUUCUGACUUGAAUUUCUUGAAUCCAGAGUGUGGGAUGGGAUAAUGUUUGUUGAAAAGGAACAAGAAGAAAGUAGUGAUGCAAGAGUAAUGUAACCACUGGGCAGCAGGGAUGCUGUUGUGAAGCAAGAAGUGUUAACAAAGUAGCAUUCUACACAUAUGUAGAAUGUUUCAGAACAAAAUUGCAAGUGUAUGGGAAUUUCUUAUUAACAUAAUAGUGUUUCUGCAUUCAGGUAUAAUGGUAUGUAACCCACUCCAGUUAUCUUAGACAUAUCAGUAUUAAUAGAGAAGGAUAUGGCAGUAGCUGAGGUAGGAAACUAAACUAACAAUGUGAUUGGAGGAGAGGGCUGCCUUGAGUUUGUUAACUAUAGAAGUACUUGUAUCCAAGAAUAAUAUUCAGGGUAGGGGAGGUGCCACAGGGAAAUAAAAUGCUUGUGUGGUAUAGACAGGCCCUAGGUUUACUCCCUGGUAAUACACAAAAUAAAACAAACUCCAAACUUUUGUGUAAGUCCCUUGCAAUGUGUUUAGGUUUUAUUGUGGUGUAGGCUGCUUUGAGUAUCAAAGGGCAUUAAAAUAUAGAAGAUAAAAAUAGAGUGAGCUUUUUAAUGGUUUUUCCAGAUAAACCUAGUUUAACAUUCUAUAGAAUUUUCAAUAAAACCAUUGAGUAAUUGUGUUAAUGAGUUGAAUACAGUUGCAGAAAUUGCUUUCCAGUGGGUUGAUUCCUCAGUACUUGGGCUUACUACAGAAUAUUGUGUCUGUCUUUUGAAUGUUAAAAAGCAGCUAAGUCAAGACUGCUUUGUUUUCUUUAAUUCAGCUAUAUUUUCAUGCUCCUGGUAUUACCUUGUACUUUUAUGGAAUCUAGCUUCUGUCACUCCCCUUACUCUGACCCCCCUAGAUGUCAUUUUCAUUUAUACCUUUAGAAAGGUAUCAUAUUGAGCUCUAUAAAGAAUUUGCUCUCAAUUUUGCUGUUUUAAAAUGCAAAUAGCAUAUAUACUAAUGUUAGAAACCAUGAUUGCACCUUCUCAUAGGUGUUUUUCACCCAUUAUUUUCUGCCAAUGUUUUAAAAGUGCACAUUAAGCUUAUAUUUCUUAAAGAUGUGUUUUUCAAACUGCAGCUGACAUAACUGAACAUGUGUUUAUACCAAUAAAAUACCCAAACUCUGUUCCAAAUAUGCUCCUAUCAAAAUCUCUGAUGUUACCUUAGAGAAAAACAUUUCCAGUACUCUAACAUUAGAUUUUUUUUCCUUUUCUAUGUUUUUCUAUUUGUUAAAAAUAAAUAUGUCAAUUGUUUUAACAAGG